AGAGUUUGAUCCUGGCUCAGGAUGAACGCUAGCUACAGGCUUAACACAUGCAAGUCGAGGGGCAUCAGGAAGAAAGCUUGCUUUCUUUGCUGGCGACCGGCGCACGGGUGAGUAACACGUAUCCAACCUGCCCUUUACUCGGGGAUAGCCUUUCGAAAGAAAGAUUAAUACCCGAUAGUAUAAUGAUUCCGCAUGGUUUCCUUAUUAAAGGAUUCCGGUAAAGGAUGGGGAUGCGUUCCAUUAGGUUGUUGGUGAGGUAACGGCUCACCAAGCCUUCGAUGGAUAGGGGUUCUGAGAGGAAGGUCCCCCACAUUGGAACUGAGACACGGUCCAAACUCCUACGGGAGGCAGCAGUGAGGAAUAUUGGUCAAUGGGCGCGAGCCUGAACCAGCCAAGUAGCGUGAAGGAUGACUGCCCUAUGGGUUGUAAACUUCUUUUAUAAAGGAAUAAAGUCGGGUAUGUAUACCCGUUUGCAUGUACUUUAUGAAUAAGGAUCGGCUAACUCCGUGCCAGCAGCCGCGGUAAUACGGAGGAUCCGAGCGUUAUCCGGAUUUAUUGGGUUUAAAGGGAGCGUAGAUGGAUGUUUAAGUCAGUUGUGAAAGUUUGCGGCUCAACCGUAAAAUUGCAGUUGAUACUGGAUAUCUUGAGUGCAGUUGAGGCAGGCGGAAUUCGUGGUGUAGCGGUGAAAUGCUUAGAUAUCACGAAGAACUCCGAUUGCGAAGGCAGCUCACUGGACUGCAACUGACACUGAUGCUCGAAAGUGUGGGUAUCAAACAGGAUUAGAUACCCUGGUAGUCCACACGGUAAACGAUGAAUACUCGCUGUUUGCGAUAUACAGCAAGCGGCCAAGCGAAAGCGUUAAGUAUUCCACCUGGGGAGUACGCCGGCAACGGUGAAACUCAAAGGAAUUGACGGGGGCCCG
rnacentral:rRNA from 1 species